rnacentral:misc_RNA from 1 species
UCUAAAACAUCUUUCUUUCUCUUUAUGUGAAGUUGAUAAGUUAUGAGUGAAAUUAGAGAAGAGAAGAGAAUUAGGGAGGGAUGAAAGAGAUAGAUGGGGACAUUUGUAGAUGUAUUGCUUUCCAAAUUUCUACUGCCUAAUUCACUUUGUUUGAAUGUUUGUUUUUUCCUCCAUUUAGUCUCUUAUGCUUUGAAGUCAACAAAAAAAAUGGUAAGAAAAAAAUUUUGGGUAGCCCUUUGACUUUGAUGAAAGUAAUGUAAUGUGACUGCACAAUUGGCAAUACUCCCCUUCCAGGGUCCAACAAUGAGGGCAUUGGAUCUGUUAGGGCUGUAAGAGUUUCCCUAGAUACUCAAAAGUCAAAGAUAUUUUGUAUGUUAACUUUAGUUAGUAUAAUGUUUGGUGUAAAUGAGUGAUAAUGCAGAAUUUAUGGAGUAAAUUCUGAAAAGUAAUUCUGCAGUAGGUAUGGCUCAUGUACUGCUUUUGUAAUAUGUCUCCUAUACGAGGAGCUUUAUGUUAAAAAAAGUGUGUGAAUGCAGAUGUUCCAUUUCAGAAAACUUAUGUUUAGUUCUCUCUUUUUAUGCUCAAUAAUUUAACAGGAUCAGUAACAUAGUGUUAAAAGCCUAUGUAUCAUGAUAUAAAAUAUCAAGCAUCUAUCUGAUCAUGUAAAAGUUACCAUAAUAUAAGGUUUCGUUCAAAGGUGAAGAAAUGGCUAAUCCGUUCAGGUUGAUUGAAUAUUCUUCACCAAAAAGGAUGUUCAAAGUAUUAUCAGGAUUAGCUUAUGUUUUGUGCUUUAUCUUAUGUUUUUUUUUUCUCUGCUAGGUUUUUUCACUUAAUAUGAUGCAUUUGGAACUGGGUGUAUGGGGAAGCCUGAUGGCUGGGAUUAGCUUAUUGGAAUGAUUUCCAUUAGCACUAAAAAUAUCUGUAUCUCUACCAUAGUUGUUGAAUGAUUCAACAGCAGCUGAUUAGGAUUGAAUCCAUCUCACACAAGAAAUAGGAGGAUUUUUGUAUCUAUUUAUUCUAAUUGCUGUAUUUGCUGAAUAUAAUUGUGACUUUAUGUCGGUUAUGUCAGAUGAUAUGGAACAGUUGUUGGCGGUAAUAAAACUCAUAAAUUCUGUUUUAGAGUUUGUUUAAUAACUUUUACCUUGGCAUGCCUAUGAAGCACAAAGGUUUACAAUUGUCUUUGUUCUGUCAGUCAAACUAAUUGAAGUUACAAUAUGAUUGGAUCAUUUUUAUGAAAAAGGGUUAUGAUGAGGAGCCACCAUUAGACUUCAAAAUUGAUCAUGAAGGUAUUUGGUCAUCAUUUGGAUGUUUCUCAUUCAUGUGUUAUAUCUAUUCAUUAUUUUGGCAGAUAUCCCACCUCUGUGUUAAAUCUUGCUCUUCUUAUAUUGGCAAUUGAUCAUGUUGCAUUUGACUUGUUCAGAGUGUAUGAGUUUUACGUACAAUGGUUGCAUAGAAUAAAUUCCUUUUUUGUUCUAACAUAUUGUAGGUUCCAUUUGAAGAAGGAAACCUGGAUUGUCAAUUAAAUACCUAGUCCAUGCUAAUUACGAACCUUUCUUGGAUCUGAAGAGAACUUUAUUGAAAGCGUAGAGCAGAGCAUCAGAAUACAAAAUAUCCCCUAGCUAGCUAACAGAGCUUAAGCUAACCAAUCCUCGAAUUUUACAAAAAGAAACAGAUAUUUGCAAAAAGAAACAGAUAUGAAAAGAGUAUAAAACUAGGAGAUGAUUGUCACAUUAGCUUGAAUGUAGACUAAGCUUGUAGAUGCAGACUUACACUUAAAGAUUGAUGCUAUAGACAAGGAGAAUUUGACAUAUGACUACUCUGUGAUGGCAGGUGAUCCUGCCAUUGAUGGAUCUCUUUUCAGAUUAAGGUUGAAAGCUGCCUGAUGGAGGAUCCAUCUUCAAGCGCAGCAGCAAGAGUUACACUAUUGAUGGUGCUGAGGCGAAUGAAGAGGUAAUUAAGGCUGGACAAGAAAAGGCCAUGGAAGCCUUUGUAGGAAUAUUCAGGCUAUGAUAGAUUGAGGGCUCAAACGCCAACGCUCCAAUAAUAAAAAUUUAAAUUUUUAACACAAUGUUUUAUAUUUAAAUUGUGCUAAGAUCGAAAAUUUGAGAUUAUAGAAAAUACAGAGCUAUUCAAAAUUUGAUUUACUACAAGGAAUUUUCCUGCGACAUGAGAAUUAAUUUCAAGCAAAU